UGAAAUUUGUAGUUUUAAUCCGUUAAUAAUUUAAGCCACUCUUUAAUCUCUCCGCUUAUUUGGGCAAACGAAACUAACUGAUUUUCAUCUAAAAUGUACGAUAUAGCGUUAUCCAUUUUAAAGUAGUUGUAUAUAAUAUAAGUUCGUCAUUAAGCUUUUUACUUACUACAAUUUACAUUAUCUUAACCAACCAAGAAUUUAUUCCACUUUCGUAAUAUAAAAUUAGUAAAAAAAUUGACACGGUAUUCGUUGUAUCAAUUGUCGUGGUGAUCGAAAACCUAGACGCUAUCUAGUUUCAUAUGCUGAAUA
rnacentral:lncRNA from 1 species